rnacentral:rRNA from 1 species
CUACGGGGGGCUGCAGUGGGGAAUAUUGCACAAUGGAGGAAACUCUGAUGCAGCAACGCCGCGUGGAGGAUGACACAUUUCGGUGCGUAAACUCCUUUUAUAUGAGAAGAUAAUGACGGUAUCAUAUGAAUAAGCACCGGCUAACUCCGUGCCAGCAGCCGCGGUAAUACGGGGGGUGCAAGCGUUACUCGGAAUCACUGGGCGUAAAGAGCAUGUAGGCGGAUAGAAAAGUUGGAAGUGAAAUCCUGUGGCUUAACCAUAGAACUGCUUCCAAAACUCUCUAUCUAGAAUAUGGGAGAGGUAGAUGGAAUUUCUGGUGUAGGGGUAAAAUCCGUAGAGAUCAGAAGGAAUACUGAUUGCGAAGGCGAUCUACUGGAACAUUAUUGACGCUGAGAUGCGAAAGCGUGGGGAGCAAACAGGAUUAGAUACCCCCGUAGUC